AACGAACGCUGGCGGCGUGGAUUAGGCAUGCAAGUCGAACGAGAAAGCGGACUUCGGUCUGUGAGUAAAGUGGCGAACUGGUGAGUAACAGGUGGGUAACGUACCUCGAUGUGAGGAAUAACUCCUGGAAACAGGGGCUAAUACCGCAUGUGACGUCAGGUCCUUCGGGACUUGCCGUGAAAGGCAGGGACUUCGGUCUUUGCCGCAUUGAGAUCGGCCCGCUUCCCAUUAGCUUGUUGGUGGGGUAAUGGCCUACCAAGGCAACGAUGGGUAGGUGGCCUGAGAGGGUGGUCACCCACACUGGGACUGAGAUACGGCCCAGACUCCUGCGGGAGGCAGCAGUCUAGAAGCAUCGACUAAGGCACGAAAGUGUGCUCGUGCGACGCCGCGUGUGUGACGAAGCCCUUCGGGGUGUAA
rnacentral:rRNA from 1 species